CUUGUCUUCAUCAUCUGUUUUCAUCCUCUCGAUCUGGUAUGCAAAAUUCGACAUCUCUUGUUGUUAAAGAAAUUCAUUUGAUUUUAAAGUCUUAUUAUACAAUUGAAUCGAAAGCAAGGCAGCUUCUUGAUUGGAUCUUGAACUUUCGACGAUCCAGUCAUUUAAAUUUACUCAAACUUGCGAUAUUAAAUCUCAAUCAGUAUCACUCGCCUGGUUCUGAUUACUGAUGUUUCAGGCCCUUUUAUUACUGAUAUAUUCCUUAUUAUUCGUAGAUAAUUUGUAUGAAGGAUUUUGAUAAGGAGCAAACGCACUCUGUCCCAAAAUUCCUAUUGGAAAUAUUUUGAGGCAAUUUCUUCGUUUGCGAUAUUUAAUUAGUGCUUCCAGCUUUUUAACUUUUUGUAUGAUGUGUUAUGAUCAUACAAUUUACAUUGCUGGAUCAUAUAUUUUUAACCAUGUUUUAUGAAUGGUUGAUACAUAAUAUAGUUUUAAAGAAUAGAUUCGGUAAAUCAAAGUAUUUUUUGAUUUCAUCAUGGUUAUUAGUUAUGACAACGGUAUAUCAUGAAAUAAACGUUCACCAUCUAAAAUCAAUUGAAAAUAAGAUACUGAAACACUACCUGAAAGGCUGAAUUCAACCUUGACCCAUGACCUAUGUUGCAAGUGGACUUGUUACUCUGAAUGUAAGUGUUAAACAAAAAGAUAAAUAAUUUCACUUUGGUUUUAUUAAAACUACAACACCCAUCAUGACCCAUGUUGUUAACAUUGCAUGGAACGAAAAUAGCUUGAUUUAAAACAUAACUACCGAAAGUAGCAGACCUAACACUACUAGAAUAAUAAACAAUAGCUACCAAAAUUUGCUACCGAAAGCAAAUUUAGCACAAUUUGGUAGCAAAAUAGUGUCAAAGUAACAAAUUGAUUUUUUUAAUUUUCUUACGAAAAAGGGAAUAAAAGGCCAACUGUUGGUUUACACAGUCAAACGCUCAAACCAUACUCUCAAACCACAACACGAACCACAAAUCAGUCGCUCAAACCACAACUCGAUCGUCGUUCGAAUCCGCCGCUCGACCGUCGUUCGAAUCGAUUCAUCCGUCAAAACCUAAAUUUCAUAACAACAAAUCAGUCGUUCAAACCACAUGACCACAAAUCAAACCACAGAUCAAAUCGGAAAUCAACGAGUUGUGAGAUCGAAUCGGACAUCUUCAUUCAAUUCCGCCGCUUGACCGUCGUUCGAAUCGAUUCAUCCGUCAAAACCUAAAAUCACCGCCAACACUCUCAAAUCAGAUAUAAUGGCACGUACUAUGGGUCAAGGUAGUUCUCAAGCUAGUGGUCGAGGUAGUGCUCAAGUUGGUGGUCGAGGUGUUGGGCGAGGUGGUGGUCAAACUGGUGUUGGCUCACGUGAUCCUUCCUGAAGAACAGAUGAUACAAAGCCAAAACUGGUUCUGCAACAACUGAUCCUAAUAACAUUGCUUUGAACUCCUUUUCCCUCCAAUGGCAGUGGCAUACAACAUCUGAUGAUUCCUAAAGACUAUUGUUCACUUAAGUCUGUUACACAAAAAGGUCUGCUUCUAUACAAAGUCUGUUGAAGACCAAUCAACUGUUGAAGUCAAUGAACUGCUGGAAGUCAAAGGCCUGAUCAACUUUUAUGGAAAGCACUGCUCAGUCUUCAUUAGUGGUUGAGCCCAUCAGUGGAUAACUUCAUCAGCAGUUGUUUAAUCAGUGUCUUAAUGUAACAGUGUCUGUAAUCAUCAGUGUUUAGAGGUUGUUAAGAUUGUUAGCUGUCACUGUCUAGGUGAUGUCAGCAAAGAUGCCACAGUGUUUAGGAUUGUACUAUAAAUAGACAGUGCCUGUACUGUUUUAUUAGCUCUUUGCACACACUUACAUUUUGUACGAACUAACAUUGUGAGCUCAGGCUGAGGGGGAGAAAGUGUUCAUGCAUACGUUGAAUAUUUUGUAAUGAAAUCAUUCGACACAAAGUAUAUAUGAUGAAAGCUUUUCUUUCCUA